UAGGGAAGACGGAUGUAAACAAAGACUGUGUCCUUCUCAAAAACCUGCAAAUCCGGACGUUAUGCUGAUUUUCCCUGACAUUUUUAAAAAUGUUUUUCUGUCAAGCCGACAGAAUAGACUUUCGCUGUCCAUAAUGCAAGAGGCACACCUUUUGGAAGCAUGGCCUCAAAUUAUUGAGGAAGCACGCCACGAAUCUAUCACAAUGCAGGAAUUGAGGGGCUGAUCAUUGAGGACAUGCAUGACGUUCAGUACACAUUCUCAAUUGGACCAGAGCUCCCAUGCCCUGACUUCAGAUGUGAGCAUAGUGGAGACGACAGCCAGAGCAGCUGCGUUUUUUCCUCUCUGACGGGCUCAUUAUCACUGGAACAGCCACAGGGGUUCAGGCAGAUCCAGUGGAACUCAGAGAUGUUGCAGUCUGUAAGACUCCCAGUUUUUAUUGGCUCAGGAGUAACCCAUUACAACAUGGAACACUACCUUGAUGCUAUUGCAAUGAUAAUUGGCUCUCAUUUCAAGAGGGGAGGUGUUUGGGCAAAUGCUGUUGAUCCGGAAAGCGUUAAGAAGUUCUUGGGGAAGGUGCGUUUGCUUCGAAAAUGAAAUCCACUAAAUGUGCUACUAAAAUAAUUUAAUGCAGAACAAUGAAAUACAUUUGGUGGUAAUAAUACAUGUAAUUACUGAAGUUGUCUCAUGCUAUUUAAUAAAACACAAAUAAUACCCAAUCAAAACAAACUUGUUU